AUUGAACGCUGGCGGCAGGCCUAACACAUGCAAGUCGAGCGAGAGGGGGGCGGGUGAGUAAUGUAUGGGGAUCUGCCCGAUAGAGGGGGGGAAAUCCUGGAGACGGUAGCUCAUACCCCAUACUAUCGGAUGAACCCCUAUGGGAUUAGAUAUUAGGUGAGGUAAUGGCUCACCAAGGCGACGAUCCCUAGCUGGUCUGAGAGGAGGAUCAGCCACACGGGGACUGAGACACGGUCCAGACUCCUACGGGAGGCAGCAGUGGGGAAUAUUGCACAAUGGGCGCAAGCCUGAUGCAGCCAUGCCGCGUGUAUGAAGAAGGCCUUCGGGUUGUAAAGUACUUUUGGCAGAGAAGCGGUAUCCGCAGAAUAAGCACCGGCUAACUCCGUGCCAGCAGCCGCGGUAAUUC
rnacentral:rRNA from 1 species